rnacentral:rRNA from 1 species
UACGGAGGGGGUUAGCGUUGUUCGGAAUGACUGGGCGUAAAGCGCGCGUAGGCGGACCUGCAAGUCGGGGGUGAAAUCCCGGGGCUCAACCCUGGAAUGGCCUUCGAGACUGCCGGUCUUGAGUUCGAGAGAGGUGGGUGGAAUUCCGAGUGUAGAGGUGAAAUUCGUAGAUAUUCGGAGGAACACCAGUGGCGAAGGCGGCCCUCUGGCUCGACACUGACGCUGAGGUGCGAAAGCGUGGGGAGCAAACAGG